rnacentral:rRNA from 1 species
UACGUAGGGUGCGAGCGUUGUCCGGAAUUAUUGGGCGUAAAGAGCUCGUAGGCGGUGUGUCGCGUCGGCCGUGAAAUCCUGCGGCUCAACUGCAGGCUUGCAUUCGAUACGGGCAGGCUCGAGUUCGGUAGGGGAGACUGGAAUUCCUGGUGUAGCGGUGAAAUGCGUAGAGAUUAGGAAGAACACCAGUGGCGAAGGCGACUCUCUGGACCGUAACUGACGCUGAGGCAUGAAAGCGUGGGGAGCAAACAGG